AACCCUAAAUCUAAAUGAUACAGAAACGGUGCUACUGUUCAUCUUCUUCACUGAGCCCAACUUUAACUCGCCUGAAACUCAGGCGAGUUCACUCAAAUGGGUCCCCUCCCGUCAACGUCAAUUUAUUCCAACGGUCUUCUGUCAGAGAAGAAAGAACAUCCUCUCCAAAUUUGCACGAUUUCUGUACGAUGGAACGAUUUGCUGGAUCAAUGGGAGCCGUGGAUAGAUGUAAAUCGUUCCAUGCCUUCCUAUUGUCCCAAAAUCGUUCAGAAACGAGGGUAUUUUUUGGAUUUUUGGGCAGAAACUUCGAGAUCUUUGAGGGUUAUAAAUAAGGUGCAGGUGUAACAUUCUUGGCGUUCUAUGUGUAAAAGAUUACAGCCUGCAUCUCUAAUUUCAGUAGUUAUUGAUCUCAAAUUUGCAAUUAGUUAAAACUUCCUCCUUAUGAGUAGUAUAUUGUGAUUUAUGAAUCCACUAUCCAAUUAGGUUAAUUAAAGCAAGACCGAAAUGUUCCUUGAUUUUACUUACUAAUGAGUGAAAGACUUCCUUGGCACAAGCUUUUCCUCUAUAACGUACAACAUUUUUGAGUAAUUCAUGCAAGGAUGACAUCUGAGAACCCUUUAUUCUGGUUUGAUCACAUAUGUCACUUAGUCCAAGCCAUACGCAGUUGGAUUUGGCAAUUGGCAUGCAAAGCAUAAAGAUUAGAAUGCUUAGUCUAGCAUUAUCAUUCAGGGAUAUGGGAUAGCUUCCUGUCCUGUGUAUGUUAACAAGCAGGUGCCAAUAUAGAAUAAGGAACUCUCACAGCACCUUAUUUUAUCCGAGUGUAGCACCGCUGUUUCAAAUGGAGUGUUAAUGCCAUGAAUUAGUCUUAUAAUAAGGUUGUUCAUCAUGUUGAUAUUUAGGACUAUGCGCAAUGUUUGCUGGCUGUAUAUUUGAAGUAACACAUUCAUCUUUCUAUUCUUGUCCCCUUUGUAAAAAUAACAAAUAUCAUUGCAUAUGAAAUCCUGUAUUGCUAUUGUGAUCAAAUUUUA